AGCUUACUUGACCAUAUUACUGUAGUUUAGAUCAGGUUCAACUUAAACAUUCUUAAAAAACUGAAACAGUAACAUAUGGAGUAAUAGUAUACAUGACAUGCCAGUCAUCUUCCUACAAUUGAAUACAUGCCAUGCAAUUAGUUUGCAAGCAGAGAUAAGAGUGCCACUCAUACUGGGAAACAACACAAGUCCUGGUACUGAUAAAGAUGGCUAGGGACUUGGAG
rnacentral:lncRNA from 1 species